CUACUAGGGUUUCUAAUCCUGUUUGCUCCCCACGCUUUCGUAUUUCAGCGUCAGUACCGGGCCAGUGAGCCGCCUUCGCCACUGGUGUUCUUCCUAAUAUCUACGAAUUUCACCUCUACACUAGGAAUUCCACUCACCUCUCCCGGACUCAAGAUAGCCAGUAUCAAAGGCAGUUCCGAGGUUGAGCCUCGGGAUUUCACCCCUGACUUAACAAUCCGCCUACAUACGCUUUACGCCCAGUGAUUCCGAACAACGCUAGCCCCCUUCGUAUUACCGCGGCUGCUGGCAC
rnacentral:rRNA from 1 species